ACACAACCUAAGAGAUAGGAUCGACUUAUUUUAAAACUGAUCUAGUUGGCGAGACUAUUGUGUCCAACAAUGAAGUUAUUCGUUUUUCUUUGCCUUUUGUCAUGUCUGACUGCAAUGGUAGCAGUUGAAGGUAGGUCAUUGUUGGACAGUUUAUGUAUCGGACAGAUAGAUUGUUUCA
rnacentral:sRNA from 1 species